GAUGAACGCUGGCGGCGUGCCUAAUACAUGCAAGUCGAGCGAACAGACGAGGAUCUUGCUCCUCUGACGUUAGCGGCGGACGGGUGAGUAACAGGUGGAUAACCUACCUAUAAGACUGGGAUAACUUCGGGAAACCGGAUCUAAUACAGGAUCAUAUGGUGAACCGCAUGGAUCAUUAGUGAACAAGGGUUUUGCUGUCACUAAUAGGGGGAACCGCGCCGCAUUAGCUAGUUGGUAGGGUAACGGCUUACCAAGGCGACGAUGCGUAGCUGACCUGAGAGGAUGAUCAGUCACACUGGAACUGAGACACGGUCCAGACUCCUACGGGAGGCAGCAGUGGGGAAUAUUGGACAAUGGGCGAAAGCCUGAUCCAGCCACGCCGCGUGUGUGAAGAAGGUCUUCGGAUUGUAAAGCACUUUAAGUUGGGAGGAAGGGAAGUAAGAUAAUACCUGGCUGUCUUGACGGUACCAAAAGAAUAAGCACCGGCUAACUUCGUG
rnacentral:rRNA from 1 species